GCCUCCUUCAUAUGCUUUUAGUUAAUUAAAAAAAUAGCGUCCGGCCGGCGACCGGCGAGCAGAGUGUCCGGCGUCCGGCGUACAACAUGUCCGGCGUCCCGCGUACAGCAUGGUCGGAGCAACAGAGGACGACUACGGACAUGGCCGGAGCAGCAGCCGCGGAUGUGCAGAGGUGCCUUGCAUCCAUCCAGAACCCAAGUCGCCCCCGUGGUCAUCGUGGAGGUCGUCCGCGCGGAGUCGUCGUCGAGACCUUGGGAGAGAGAGGCAGACGGCCUGCACGGGCUAGAUGGCGCAGCUGGUGGUGCGGCGGGCCUUGACUACUGCCCCCGACUAGGAGGUGGCUGCGGGAGGAGACUGUAGGCCGCGGCAACUCCAGCGCUGCUGCUUCUCCGGCUGUGCCGCUGCUACUCCGACGGUGCUGAACGGGGAGAGGGAGAUAGAGGAAGAUGGCAGAAAGAGAAGGAGGAGGUGAGAUGCAUGGCAGGGUCCAGCGAGGGGCGUCGGAGGAGGAUCUUGCGAGGGGCGGUGGCGCGGGAGUCCGGCGUGGCAGCGACGAGGGAGUCCGGCGGGGUAGUCCGUCGAGGGUGCUGUACGUGCGCUGCUGCUGCGCUCCUGUGAGGAGAAAAAGAG
rnacentral:rRNA from 1 species